CCUACGGGGGGCUGCAGUCGAGAAUCUUCCGCAAUGGGCGAAAGCCUGACGGAGCGACACCGCGUGCAGGAUGAAGGCCUUAGGGUCGUAAACUGCUGUCACGCCAUAGGAAAGCAUUUAUAUGUCUGACCAAAGCGAGAGGAAGCACCGGCUAACUCCGUGCCAGCAGCCGCGGUAAUACGGAGGGUGCAAACGUUGUUCGGAAUCACUGGGCAUAAAGGGCUCGUAGGCGGUUCAUUAAGUCAGGUGUGAAAUCCCCCGGCUCAACCGGGGAACUGCACUUGAUACUGGUGAACUAGAGUGUGGUUGGGGUGAGCGGAACUCCUGGUGGAGCGGUGAAAUGCGUAGAUAUCAGGAGGAACACCGGUGGCGAAAGCGGCUCACUGGACCACUACUGACGCUGAGGAGCGAAAGCUAGGGGAGCGAACGGGAUUAGAUAC
rnacentral:rRNA from 1 species